rnacentral:lncRNA from 1 species
GAGCGCGCUACCACUUGAGCCACAUCCCCAACCCAUCUGCCUGCUCUUCAGAAAAAGACUACCAAAAUCUUAUUCCACUUGGGAAUGACAUUUCUUCAAUUCCAAUCCCAUCUAGCAUUCCUGAUUAGCUGGGGGGUGGUGCAGGGGAGGUAAGAAAUACUUGUGAGGUCACAGACCUGAGGAAAAUAUCCAGUUCUAGCAACCUCUAAACUUCAGGAUACAAUAUCUGAAAGAACUACAGUAUCAAACUUUAUUUUAGAGAAGUCUGGGGAAACCCAAAGACAGAAGCAUAGACAAAGACAUCAGAAGAAAAUUUUGUACAGCAUAAAAUAAACACAUCCUAACUACUAUUAAGACUGAAGGCCUGUUUACCUCAGUUUCUUUUACUUAGUUCAUCAUGGUAGUUUUUCAACAGCAAUAACAAAAAAAAAUGGCAAACCAAGAGACAUUAAAACAGUAUCAAGAGGUAGAGCAAGGGUCAGAAGUAGAUUCAUAUGUAAUUAGAAAUUUUGGAAUUAUCUGACUGGGAAUUUAAAACAACUAUGAUUAACAUACUAAGGGUCCUAAUGGAAAUGGUGGAAAAUAUACAAGAGCAGAGUAGUGAUAUAAGCAGAGAUGGGAAACUCAAUAAAAGAAUCAAAAGGAAAUGCUAAGAAGUUAAAAAAAAAAAAAAAAAAAAACUACUGCAAUGAAGAAUGCCUUUGGUGGGUUCCUCAAUAGAUUGGAUGUGCUGCAUAUAAAAUCAGGAAGUUUUACCAAAAAAUCAAUAGAAAGUUCCAAAACAGAUUACACAUUAGUAAAACAAGGUGGAAAAUGCAACUAGGGGGAAAUUCCAAAAAAUGUAACAUACACAUAUUAGGAAUACCAGAAAGAACAUAACAGAGGAAAUAUUUAAAGUAAUAAUUGGCUGAGUAUUUUCCAAAAUUAAUUACACAACUGCACUACAGAUCUAGGAAAUGCAGAGAAUGUGAAGCAGGAAUAAAACCAGAAAAUCUGCACCUAGGUAUAUUAUAUUCAGAUUGCAAAAUUCAAAGACAAAAAUUGAAAGACAAAAAACAACUGCAUUGCCUACAUAGGAGGAGGGAUAAGAAUUACUUUCAAAUCAUCUUUGGAAACUAUGAAACAAGAAUAAAGUAGAGUGAAAUAUUUAAAGCAAUGAAGAAAAUAGCACCACCACAGAAUUCUUUACCCAAUUAAAUUAUUCUCCCAAAGUGAAGAAGAAAUAUAUAUAUUCUCAGAUAAGUGAAAUUUGAGAGAAUUUGUCCCCAGAAGACCUGCCCUUCAGGAGAUGUUUAAUAACAUUCUUCAGAGAGCAAAAAAGAAAGAAAGAAAGGAAGAAUGUUAGUGAAGGAAUAAAUGAAGGUAAAAUAGAAUCUUGUAUUUUUAUUCUUAAUUGAUUUAACACAUAAAAAUUUAUCCAAAAUAAUAUUAUCAAAAUAUAUGUGAUGAUUAUAAAUAAGUGAAAUAAAUGUUAGCGGUGUUUUAAGGGAUGGGAAGGAGAAAUUAGAAAUACUCUAACUUAAAGUACUUUUCUCAGGACAGAUUUUUAAAUAUUCUGAAAAUAUUAAAAUACAAUUUAUUAAAUUUGUCAGAUGCAGCAAAACAGUGCUUAAAAAGAAAUACGUAGCAUUUAAUGAAUAUAUUAGAUAAAAAAGGUUAUCGAAAACCAGUAAUCCAACAUUCUACUUCAAAAACUAGACAAAGAGGAAUUUAAAUCAAAAGUAAACAGAAGAAAAGAAAUUUUAAAAAAUUGAGGCAGAGGGCUGGGACUGUGGCUCAGUGGUAGCGCACUUGCCUUGUAUGUGUGAGGCACUGGGUUCGAUUCUCAGCACCAUGUAUAAAUAAAUAAAAGAUCUAUCAACAACUAAGGGAAAAAUAUUUUUAAAAAUAGUAAGGCAGAAGUUAAUGAUAUUAAAAACAAGAGAUCAAUAGAGAAACUCAAUGAAAAGAAAAGCUGAUUAUUUGUAAAGAUAAAAAAAUUUUAAGCCUCUAACCAGAUAGUCUAAGGAAAAAGAAAAGACAUAAAUUAUUAAUAUCAGAAAUGAAACAUGGGCCAUUGUUACUUUCCUAUGAACAAUUAAAAGAUAAUGGAAGAAUAUUAUUAACAAUCUUGUCCUCAACUAUGAUAAAUUAAGUCAAAUGGAAAUAUCCCUUGAAAGACCCAACCUACCAAAAGUCACACAAGGAAAAACAAAAUCUACAUAAUUAUUUCACUAAAACUAUUAAUGAAAUUGAAUUAAAAGAAAUUGAAUCCAUGUUUACCACCAGCCCCAAAAGGGAAAGCAGCAGGCACAGAUGUGUUCACUGGUAAAUUUUUCCAGAUAUUUAAGGAAAAAGCUAUACAAAUUCCAUACAAUCUCUCACAUAAAAUGGAAACCAAGUCAAUACUUCCCAAGAAAUCAUAUGAUACCAGCAUUAUGUAAUACUAAAACCAGGCAAGUAGGAAUACUACAGACCAACAUUCCUUACACAGACAGAUGUAAAAUUUAACAGCUUGUUUUUAGCCAAUCAAAUCAAUUUAUAAAAAUCAUCAUACAGCACAACCUAGUAGAAUUCAUUCCAGAUAUGCAAGACUGGUUUAACACUUAACAAUCAAUCAAUAUAAUCCAUCACAUCAAAAUAUUAAAGAAGAAAAAUGAUAUGAUACAAUCAAUAAAGCAGAAAAAAAAGUUUGGCAAAAUUCACCACCCAUUCAUAAUUUAGAAAAAAUAAAUAAAUAAAACCUCUCAGAAAAUAUAGAGUGUUACUGUCUAAAUGUGAAUAGCCCACCAAAAAUUCACAUAUUGAAACCCUAAGCCCCAAUGUGAUGAUAUUUAGAAGUGGGGCCUUUCAAAAGAAAACAGUUUCAAAUUAUGUGAUGUGGGUGGAACCCUCCAUGAUGAAACCAAUGCCUUUAUAAGAAGAAAUACUAGUGAGAUUGAUCUCUCUCCCUCUUCCUACAUGCACAUACUGAAGAAAGGCUUCCUAAGAGCACAGUGAGAGGGGCUUCUAUAUAAACCAUGAAGCAGGACCUCACCAGCAACGAAAUCUGCUAGCAUCUUGAACGUGGACUUUUCAGCCUCCAGAACUGUGGCAAAUAAAUGUCUGUUCUUUAAACCACUGUUUUAAUCAGUUUUGCAUCACCUGGACCAAAAGUCCUGAUAAGAACAAUAUAAGAGCAGGAAAAGUUUAUUUUGGCUUACAGUUUCAGAAGUUCAGUCCAUGGUUUCCCAACUCCAUAUCUCUGGGCCCAAAAUGAGACAGAAUAUCAUGACAGAAGGAUAUGAGAGAGGAAGGCAGCUCAGGACAUGGCAACCAGGAAACAGAGAGCUCCACUCACCAGGGUCAAAAUAUAAACCCCAAAGGCAUGGCCCCUUGAUCUACUUCCUCUAGUCACACCCUACCUGACUAUAGUUACUACCCAGUGAAUUCAUAUCAGGAGAUUAAUUCACUAAUUAGGUUACACCUUUCACAAUCUAAUCAUUUUCCCUCUGAACAUUUUUGCUUUGUCACACAAGAGCUUUUGGAGGACACUUCAUACCCAAGACUAACAGCCACUUA